rnacentral:siRNA from 1 species
UGAUUCUACGUUGAUUUCACGUGU